ACAAAUCAAUUGUGCUACGGAGCAAUCCGUAUGCAUAUAAACCCGAACCCGUGCAGCAAUGCCGGGCUAGGUGUGUAUGCUGAUAUCUAUCAGUGUGCACGGCCGAGAGUAAGUGUGUGCGCUUACCCAAAGCCAAAUAGACGCUUGUAUGUUUUGACAGAUCUAGUUGACAACAAAAAAUUGA
rnacentral:misc_RNA from 1 species